rnacentral:lncRNA from 1 species
GUGCUCUUGUGAUUGUGACUGACACAGGCAGCACCCUUUUGCAGAAGUAGAUGUGCGUUGCUGAGAAAUUUUCUGCCUAAGUUCUGGUUUUCUUUGCAGCACCCAGCAUUUGUUUCUAACACAGGGAAAGAGUGAGCUGGAGAAACCUCUCAAAUUCAAGAAAGCGUAAAGCAAAUUGAACAAUACGGGUGAGGGUUGGGGAAAAGAAGCCCUCUGCACACCAGAAUUACCCAGAGACAUGGAACACUUAGCACUGCAUCAUAUGUUGGCCUUACAGAGGUCCUCCGUAUUCCAAUGUGAGGAAGGAAGUGGUGGUACAUUUGCAGAAGGCACUAAAUUAAGCGACUCUAAUGAACCAGAUAGAAGGGACCACUGCAACAGGAUUUAGUUUCCUCCUCGAACCAUGAAAGAGACCAGGAGAGAAUAGGCCUUCCUCUUUGGCAGCCAACAUGGAAACAGGAUGAACAAGACCAGGAGGAGGUUUUCCUCUGUUUCACAGGAGCACGGACUAUUCUCUCAUGUUGAAUGUGGCACUUUUUACAUACAAGCAGGAGAGCAACUACACCAAGAUUUUGGAAAACAUGUUAUGUAAGGUUAAUUGUGACCUCUAUGAUGGGGAUAUGAUAAAGAAGAAAAGUACCUCACAGCGAUGAUUGGCAUGUGAUCACUUAGCCAAUGAGAUAAGAGGCUGUAGAAACGAUGUGAUAAUGACAUCUCCUGAGUUGCAGUGAAUAUUUGAAGAGAAAACGAAGAGGUUAUUAAAUGUGUUUGGGAAUAUCAUAAUUAUAAUAGGUCCAUAACAAUAUUUGCCCAAGGGAUUGCUUGAGGAUUAAAUACGGGAUAGAAUUUGAAAAGUGAUGGGAAUGAGAAUCCUCGAGCAUGAGGAGUUUGGUUUCUUGAGGCUCCUUAAGGAGGUUCGGGGGAGACUGAGAAACAAGGCAAUGUGGAAAAUGGUUCAAAGACAAGAACAAAAGGUAAUAGAUUCUCUCCUUGAGGAAACUCUAGUCAGACUCAAAAUUUUCUUCUCAACUAGACCAUGACUUUUGGGCUUCUGUGUUUGUCUCUGCAUUGCUCAAUUUUAGCAAGAAGCUUUCCAAGUCAGUUUAGCCAGAGUCCUUCACUCACGAUACUUAGUUGGGUUCCUCAUUCUCCACAAUCCCCUUGUGAUGUCUGAUCACUGUAAGCAUGCCUUUAGCAACAGACCUAGUCAGUUAGCUUAGCCUAAAUGUCCUCUAAUUCUUGAUGUUUUUCUUAGUGAUUUUUUAUCCAAUGACCCUCACCCUGCUC